AUGGCGGCCAUACUUGAAACUUUGCUUAAAUCAAGUGUCAAUAAGUUGCAAGAUGUCAUCACGGAUGAGGCUGUACUAAUCCUAGGGGUGGAAGAAGAGCUCACAAAACUGCUGGGACGAGUGGAACUAAUUCAGUGUUGUAUAUACGAUGCGGAGAAAAGGAGGACAAAAGAGCGAGCAGUAAACAACUGGCUUGGUCAACUGAGAGAUGUUAUAUAUGAUGUUGAUGAAAUCCUGGAUGUGGCUAGAUGUAAAGGAAGCAAGCUACUUGCUGACCACCCUUCACCAUCAUCAGGCAAAUCAGUUGCAUGUAAAGGCCUUUCAGUCUCCUCUUGUUUUUGCAACAUAGUGCCACGCCGUGAUGUUGCUGUUCGGAUUAGAAGCCUGAACAAAAAAAUUGAGAACAUUGUAAAUGACAAGAUAUUUUCGACUUUCAACAGUAGUACACAACCUACUCGAAAUGGUCCGACAUCCAAACUGAUAAGACGUUCCACUCUUGUUGAGCCCAACCUUGUGGGGAAGGAGAUCAUACAUUCUAGCAGGAAGUUGGUGGACUUAGUGGUUGCACACAAGGAAUACAAGUCUUACAAGCUUGGUAUCGUUGGAACUGGAGGAGUUGGUAAGACAACACUAGCUCAAAAAAUAUACAAUGAUCAGAAAAUAAAAGGAAGCUUCAAGAUACAUGCAUGGAUUUGUGUUUCACAAGACUACAAUGAAGAAACUCUUCUUAAGGAGGUUCUUCGGAAUAUUGGUGUGCAUCAUGAGCAAGGUGAAACCAUAGCAGAGCUCCAGAGGAAGCUUGCAAAAACAAUUGAAGGGAAGAGUUUCUUUCUGGUUCUAGAUGAUGUAUGGCAUUCCAGUGUAUGGACGGAUCUAUUAAGACCUGCAUUACAUGAAACAUCAUCUGGAGUAAUAUUGGUAACCACACGAGAUGAUCAAAUUACAAGCAGAAUAGGUGUACGGUAUACCCAUCGAGUUGAUCUCAUGUCAGUAGAGGUGGGAUGGGAGCUUCUUUGGAGGAGUAUGAACAUUGAGCAAGAGAAAGAAAUACAUAAUUUAAGAAACACAGGGAUUGAGAUUGUUCGUAAAUGUGGCCACCUCCCUCUUGCAAUCAAGGUUACCGCUGGUGCUUUGGCAAGUGGAGAUCUAACGGAGAAUGAGUGGAAAAAGUAUUUGGGCAAAUAUGUUGGUUCCCACAACAUGCUCUCUGAUGAAAUAGAAGGAGCUAUGUAUCUGAGCUAUGAUGAGUUGCUGCAUCGUCUGAAACAGUGUUUCCUUUAUUGUGCUUUGUAUACUAAAGAUUCUAUCAUUCGGCAUGAUGAAGUUACCUGGUUAUGGAUUGCUGAAGGCUUCAUCGAGGAGCAGCAAGGCCAACUACUAGAAGAUAUAGCAGAAGAGUACUACUCAGUGUUUUGA
rnacentral:rRNA from 1 species